rnacentral:rRNA from 1 species
GAUGAACGCUGGCGGCGUGCCUAAUACAUGCAAGUAGAACGCUGAGGGAAGGAGCUUGCUCUUUCCGGAUGAGUUGCGAACGGGUGAGUAACGCGUAGGUAACCUGCCUGGUAGCGGGGGAUAACUAUUGGAAACGAUAGCUAAUACCGCAUAACAGUAGAUGUUGCAUGAUAUCUACUUAAAAGGUGCAAUUGCACCACUACCAGAUGGACCUGCGUUGUAUUAGCUAGUUGGUGAGGUAACGGCUCACCAAGGCGACGAUACAUAGCCGACCUGAGAGGGUGAUCGGCCACACUGGGACUGAGACACGGCCCAGACUCCUACGGGAGGCAGCAGUAGGGAAUCGUCGGCAAUGGACGGAAGUCUGACCGAGCAACGCCGCGGGAGUGAAGAAGGUUUUCGGAUCGUAAAGCUCGGUUGUAAGAGAAGAACGAGUGUGAGAGUGGAAAGUUCACACUGUGACGGUAUCUUACCAGAAAGAGACGGCUAACUACGUG